rnacentral:rRNA from 1 species
UGCUAACAAUAUUGACCGCCGGGGCACGCGAGCCUAACAAUGCAAGUCGAGCGGUAACAGGUCCAGCUUGCUGGAUGUUGACAAGGGGCGGACGGGUGAGUAAUGCAUAGGAAUCUGCCCGGUAGUGGGGGAUAACCUGGGGAAACCCAGGCUAAUACCGCAUACGUCCUACGGGAGAAAGCAGGGGCUCUUCGGACCUUGCGCUAUCGGAUGAGCCUAUGUCGGAUUAGCUGGUUGGUGAGGUAAUGGCUCACCAAGGCGACGAUCCGUAGCUGGUCUGAGAGGAUGAUCAGCCACAUCGGGACUGAGACACGGCCCGAACUCCUACGGGAGGCAGCAGUGGGGAAUAUUGGACAAUGGGCGCAAGCCUGAUCCAGCCAUGCCGCGUGUGUGAAGAAGGCCCUCGGGUUGUAAAGCACUUUCAGUGGGGAAAAAAGCCUUGCGGUUAAUACCCGGAAGGAAGGACAUCACCCACAGAAGAAGCACCGGCUAACUCCGUGCCACCAGCCGCGGUAAUACGGAGGGUGCGAGCGUUAAUCGGAAUUACUGGGCGUAAAGCGCGCGUAGGCGGUUUGAUAAGCCGGUUGUGAAAAGCCCCGGGCUCAACCUGGGAACGGUAUCCGGAACUGUCAGGCUAGAGUGCAGGAGAGGAAGGUAAAAUUCCCGGUGUAGCGGUGAAAUU